rnacentral:rRNA from 1 species
AAAGGAAUAGACGGGGGCCCGCACAAGCAGCGGAGCAUGUGGUUUAAUUCGAAGCAACGCGAAGAACCUUACCAGGUCUUGACAUCCAUUUAAAGCCUGAGAGAUCAGGUGUCUCGCAAGAGGAAAUGAGACAGGUGGUGCAUGGUUGUCGUCAGCUCGUGUCGUGAGAUGUUGGGUUAAGUCCCGCAACGAGCGCAACCCUUACAUUCAGUUGCCAGCAUUAGGGUGGGCACUCUGGAUGGACUGCCGUGGAUAACACGGAGGAAGGUGGGGACGACGUCAAAUCAUCAUGCCCCUUACGACCUGGGCUACACACGUGCUACAAUGGCCACAGACAGAGGGCAGCGAAGUCGCAAGACGGAGCCAAUCCCAGAAAAGUGGUCUCAGUUCGGAUCGUGGGCUGCAACCCGCCCACGUGAAGCCGGAGUUGCUAGUAAUCGCGAAUCAGCAUGUCGCGGUGAAUACGUUCCCGGGCCUUGUACACACCGCCCGU